CUUCAACGAGCCCAGCAGAAGCGGCUGCCGCGCGGGCCGGUCCUGGCCGUAGACGGCGAUCAGCGCCUCCGCCUC
rnacentral:antisense_RNA from 3 species